GUAUGUAUGAAUGCAUAUGUGUAUAUACUCAUAUUUAUAUAUAAAUAUAAUAUAUAAACGAUAAGUAGUAACACACGAAGCACCAAGAAAGGAGAACGAGGAAAGGUGACGGCGGGGGACGAAGGGGAGGAUAAUCGUACAUCGUGAAAGGGUGAACGAGGGGAGAGGGGAAUAGAACGUUUCCACACCGGAUAUCCUCCCGAGGGAAACGGUGCACGCGAUUCGCAUUGCCACGCCCGUAGUAGUAUAUAUGUUGUGUUUCUUUUACACAUCCUAGGUUAGACGAAUAACAGUAAAGGAUCCAGUUUACCGUCAUUUAUAAACUAUAGCGUGUUUUAAAGUUACAAAUUUGUAUUCACGAUCAACAAAAAACUUAGGAGGAAAAGAUUGAUCCAUUUAUAUUCUCGACGGAUGAAAGAAUAUCGUAAGUUAUGUUUUUAAGGUGAAAUCAAUAUCGAUCAUAAAGGAGAUAAGUUUCGAAACGUCAUCAUCAUCUUCUUUGUUUGUUAGUCUCGAUCAUUCGAGUGGUCACAAUAUAAGGCAGGUUCAUACAUUGGUAUCGAAUUCACUAAGAACUGAGAGAGAUAAAGAGAGAAAGUAAUUCAAUACUCUCUAUAAGGACCUUGAGUACCUUCCCAUGAAUGCGCAUACACGUAUAUACAUAGCAUGCUAAUGAUUAAGUAGAAUGUUGAAUUCCGUGAGUAUUCUUUUUUUUUCUCUCAGUCUCUCACCCCUACUGUUCGUUUUCAUCUUUCAAACAAAAUUGCAAUGAAGAUAGAAAGAAAAUAAGAUAUAGAAGACGAUAAUUCAAAGGUGGAAUAAAGAAAGAACGAACGGUUUACGUUCGCAGUCUGGCUUAGAACGGACGGCACGAAAGAUACGUGCGUGCACGGAACGAAAGACGGAGCCAAAUGGAACAGAGCGAAAGAGAGAAAGAAAGAGAGGAAAGGAAAGAACCUAAGAGUUGUAAAAUGAGAACGACGAGGACGUAAGAGGAUGUAGUCGACGGACGUUUACGAAGAGAACCGAGUAUCCCCGACAUGUGGGGAAAGCUUAGUCGGUGUAGAGAGAAGAAGAAGACACAAGGGAUUAUUUCUCUUCGCCAAUUAUUUUUCGACUUUUAACGUAUUGUGCAACACACAACGAAAUUAACAAUGUUAUUAUUAUAUUUCGAUUUUAUAUUAAUACAAAGCCAAAUAUUUGUAUUAUCUAUUUUUCUUGUAUUAAAAAAAAAAAAAUGUAUUUAACAAUAAGUAUAUAUAUGAAUAAAAAAAGAAGCGAGAAAAAUCGUGAAGAUUAGCGAAAAAAAAAACAAGAUAGAUCGGAUAUUAAAGGGUACCGAUGAGCUUUUGGGCCGGCCCUGGCAAGCACAAUACCGAGUAUGAAUGAAGUAUCGUGUCUGGCUGGGUAGAGGGGAAAGAGAGAGAAAAAAUUGUGCGGUGUUUCGCGGCGUUGUGAGGUUGUAUUGCGGGCGGUAAACUGGUGACGCUCGUUGAUGUUUGGUGCGCAUGCGCGCAAAAGUAUACGAACGUACUCCCCUCUCUCUCUCUUCCAUCCCCUCGCGUAUCGGCCGCAGAGGAGGCACCACCGCACGUUCGAGUUUCGCGGCAUACAGGGCACAGCAGGAAUGAACAACAGGAGAAUCCGCAAUGCAUUGCAAUGUUGAGCAGCAGUGUUGAGUGUAGCCGGCUGCAUCCAGAAAGAGAGAAAGAGAUAGGGAAGGAGAAUAGAGGGAAAGGAAAAGGAACGGAUAUAGUCAUUUUUACGCGCUGAAAGUCGCAUCGUUUGUGGAUAUAUCGAGUCCUCGAGUAUUAGUAGACCGCCAUGUUAUUUGGUAACAGGUCGAUCAUCGAAUCGAGAAAAGAUAAACUUUUUAGAUAAGGAAUUCAUUUUGAUCAACGUAACGCGAACGGAAUAGGAGAUGAAAAUAUAAUAUAGAGAAACGAUCAAUCAGGUAAAUGAAAAAUUGUUAGUAGGGUUCCGUUUGCUGCUUGAAGAGAGAAUAUAUACAUAACUACGUGCCUGGACCGCACGAGCUAUGGCAACAUGGCUGCCAACGAGAGAACUAGCUGAAUCUUUCUCGCUCGUUUCGUUGUCUCUUUCGCGCGUGGGAGACUAUGUUAUUUCUUUUUCUAUCACCGUAACUUGACGCAAGCCAGAUUGGCCUCUCUCUCUCUCUCUCUUAUUUCUUAUCUUUUAUUUUUCUUCGAUUCUUUCUCUCCCUCUUCAUCUUUUUUUUUCCUUUUGCCCUUUCGAGAAGCUCAUUCUUUCCCGAUCUUUCUCCCACUUGGUUGAUCUCUUUCUCUCUCUCUCUCUCUCAUUCUCUCAGCUACUGGUGUUAACGACGGAUAGACGUCUCUCGGCGGUCGUCCCGCGCGUGCCCUCACGUGAGCUCGUUCGGUCGCAUACACUUGCGUGUAUGCGUGUGUAUGCGUGCGUGCGUGCGUGCGUGUGGUCGGUCAAUAGAAAAAAGCAAAAACAUAGAAGUAGCACGGUGUUACCCUGCAACGAAGGCGCGAAACACAACGCCAAUCGGCCACGCACGUACACCCCGUAUCGCGUUCUACUCUAAAGGAGAAAAAGAAUAAGAUAGAAAGAGAGAGAGAGAGAGAGAAAGAUCUUUCUUUUCUCGCGGUGGUGUCGUCACGGCGCGAGCGCGAGCGCGCUUGUUACAUCUUGUUUGUGUUACUAUACUCAUGGUCGGCAGAGAGUCUUUCGUCAGAAGCGGAAGAUAACACGGCAAAGUAGAUUUCGGUGAUUCGAUAAGAAAUUGCGGAAAAGGAGAAAGGAAGAAAUAAAGAGAAAGAGAGAUAUAUAUAUAUAUAUAUAUAUAGAGAGAGAGAGAGAGAGAGAUCGGAGGGCGAACAGAGCGCGUGCGACGUACCUGGCUGCGCCGGUGGCAGUCUCGAUCUUGCGGUCGGACGAGCUCCGUCGUCCUCCUCGUUUUCGUUGUCGUCGUCGUCGAAUUGUUGCUGUUGUUGUUGUUGUUCUUGUUAAAACGCAGCGUCGUUCUUGCUUUGGCUUUUCCUUAUCAUCAUCAUCAUCAUCAUUGUUGUCGUCGUCGUCGUCGUCGUUGUAUCGUGUCGUCGUUGUUUUCUUCGUCAUCAUCAUCAUCAUCGCGACGAAAUUAAAAAUACGCGUGUAGAAAAGGGAAAAAAAAAAGAUAUAAAAAUAGAAAGAGAAGGAAGGAAGGAAGAAUGCGUGUCAGAGAGAACAGCGAGCAAUACUAUCUUCUGCUCGUUGACGAUCCACCAGCGAGAAGAUCGGCGACGGUGGUGGUAGAACCUCGUCGUUGCCGUACCUCGUUCGUAGAGGUACGAACCGCGUGACACGAAUGCGGGAGUGUGAAAGAAAAGAAGAAGAGAAGGGAAAAGGUAUAUCUAGCCGCAUGCGUGCAAAGAGGAUAGAACGGGCUGGUUAUUUCUGUGGAGAGUAUAGGGGAAACCGCCCGUAUAAAAUAAGCAGUGAAUGAAGGAGCCUGUUUACUGGCAGACGACCUACGCGAGAUUCGGUCGACUCUCUCUCUCUCUCUCUCUUUCUCUUUCUCUUUUUCUCUAUCCCUUCCCCUCUCUAUCUCUCUCUCUCUUCUUCUCGAUAAUAAUCCUCGUCUUCUUCAUCGUCGUCAUUGCGUCGUCGAUACAGACACUGCCGCUGCCGCUGCCGCCGCCGCCGUCGUCGUCGUCACGAAUACGCUGCUGUUUGGCAGAGCGAGAGAGAGAGUGCGCUGCGAGCGAGAGAGUACUGCUAGGGAGGGGUGAGCGAGGGACCGAGCGAGCGAAAGAGAAAGAGAGAGAGAGAGAGAGAGAUAGAGAGAGAAAAAGAAAGAAAGAAUCGUUGGCCGGAGUGAGAGCCGCGCGCGUGUCUUGGCUCAGUGCUCGAGGAGAAGCCGCAGAGCGUCGGUCGUUAUUGGAACGUAAGGCGCGUGUGUCGCUCGUAAGUUUGUUCGUUCGUUCGUUCGUUCGUUCCUUCUUCAAUCUCUACUAACGUUGUUAUUUCGUUGUCGUCUCGUGCUUCUACGUAUUACUGCUAAAGAAUAAUAAAAAAGGAAAGAGAUAGAGAUAAAUAGAGAGAAAGAAAAGGAACAUUUCUAUUCGUCGUUUAUAUGUUUGACGAUCCACGUUCGUUCGGUCUGCUUCUUCUUCUCUCUUUCUUUUUAACGUGUGCGCUGCGCGAUCUACACGACACGAUACGACCGUAUAUACAUUUUUCGAGAAACUUACAUAGUACCAACCAACCAACUAACGACGUGUGUGCGCGGCCGACAGGAUACCGAGAGUGAGAGAAA